CUAGGCAGCUUAGAACUUCUUCAGGUUGGCCUUGAACUCACAGAAAUUUGCCUGCUGCAGUCCCCCAAGUGCUAGGGUUAAAAUCAUGUAGGAUCAUGCCUACCUGGUGUCAACUACCUGAAAGUCAAGUGAGUUAGGGCUGAUUGUGACGCUACUGAAUGGAAUACUUUCCUGAUCUCAUCUAGACUCAUAAACAUGAGCAAGUUGCUUCAAGCAAGACAAAAGAUGGCGGGGACACAGGUUCAGGUCCAGUCACUGUUGGGUAGAAUCUCAGUGGCUUAAGGCUGUGGAAAAUGGGUUCUGUGAGAGCUGGGUCAGCGUCAACCCCCUGGUGUGACGAUGAAUAGCGGCAAGGGACAGAUGUGAGUGAGUAGACUCCCUGUUACCUGUUGCUGAAAGCCCCGCCCCUUGUCACAGUUGUCCUUCAGGGUCUUGUCUCAUCCCCACCCCACUGCGUUACCAUCCCUUCUUGCCUUGUCCUGGGUCAAUCCCACCAUGACUUCUCUCUGACCCUGGCUCCUGCUCUGCUGUCUUCAGUUCCUGGAUGGUUCCCUGUUCUCCAUCUGUCUAACAUUUACACCCCCUCAGUCUCCACUCUCUCAAGACUCACUGCGGCAUCUGACCAUUUCUGGGAAAGCCCCAUCACCCCCUCCAUCCUUCCUUCCUCUUGGAAGUUCCGGGUCUGACAGUGGCUUUACUCCUCCCAGUUCACAUGCACCUGGAACCUCAGAAUAUGCCUCGCCUUGGAAAUAGUUUUUGCAGAUACAAUUAUUUUGAGACGAUCAGACUAGUAGAAGGGGGCCCCAAAUUCAUUGACUGGCAUCCUUAGCAGACUCUGAGGGUAACACUGGGAUAGCGGUCCAUGAAGCUGGGAUCAGCCUGUGGAGCUACAUUGCCAUAAGCCAAGGAGGGGCAGGAGCCAGAAGACGCUGGAGGACGCUGGAGGGCUUGGAGAUGAAGUGUCUCUGCAGAUGGCAUGACUCUGAACUUGCAACCUAUAGAACUUGUUCAGGGGAUGGAGCAGAGUCAGUAAAGAGUGUAUUGAAGCCAGGCUCUACCACCCUGAGUGAAGAUUGUCCUGCUAUCAAGAAAUCAUACAACAGAUAAUGACAAAUAGCAGAUCUUCGAGUCUUCUGAUUGCAUUUUGAAUACAUGGUUAAAUCUUUUUGAAUGUGUGUUUACAAACAGGAUCUGCUUCAUAUCCUGGUAACUUCAACAUCCAGAGAAGGCAAGCCUGCUGGAAUGCCUAGGGGAGGGGCUUCAUUACCUCCAACUUAUCGUGGUAGAGGGAAAAGAAUAUUGUACUGUCGCCAGCAACAACACUGGAUUUUUAGACUCUGCAGGUUAUAAAAUGUUUUUCUUUCUCUUUUUGUAUGUAUAGCUCUGGGGUUGGAGCCCAAGGCUUUGUGAAUGUUGGCUGAACUCUCUAUCCCUGAGCUACAUCCUCAAUCUCAUGAAAAUGAGUAUUUUUGUAAAAAUUUAUUUGUUCCUCAGAAACUCUAUGAAGUAAGUCAUUUUGUUCUUCUAGCCAAAGCAUCCAGGGCACAGAGGCCCAAUGUCUUUGAUCCUCCUAUUCCAUGUGCUUAGGUCGCCUCUCUACCUACUAUUCCUCAAGCUGAACCUCGUGCCAUCUUCUCAGAAGGGUAUUUUUUUUUAUUUUAUUUUGAGUCCCUCAAUCCUCAUCCUGAUGUGAUGCCUUCCUCCUUUGUAUCCCUGGGCACCUUUUGUGAAGUCUUAUAGGAAACAUAUUCUGAUAUAUGCUGUGUAUAUAGGAUUAGGUGUUCUGUGGUGUAGAGGAAGUACUCUGCUAAUCUAAUGAAAACCCAGAGGUCCCAUUGAAUUUAGGUACAAAGAUGUUCCAGAGACAACACAUAGAGAAUCCUUUCUGAUGCUUUCUGGAUUGAGGAGACAGGAUAGGCACAGAGCAUGCCCUCAAAUGUGACUGAACAGGUAAGGAGCAGAAGAUGUCAUCAACAGCUGGUGCUGGAGUCAGCCCAACUCUGCUCCAACUCCCUGAUACCCCACAAGCCUUCUGGGGUACUUACUGUACAGAACAAUAUUUCCAAAUGGUUAAUUUUGGACAAUAUCUCUAAAAAGCUUUUAAGUGUACCAGCAAUUCCAUUUCUGUGAGUUUGUUCAAUAGAUAGACCGACACAAAAGGACAAAGAUAUGAUGUAACAUAUGUGUCAGGGUGUUCAAGAUCACCUUAAGAUUUUAUGUAUAUAUGUAUGUAUGUGUGUGUGUGCAUGUAUAUAUAUAUUUUGAGACAGCGUUUCUCCAUGUAGCCUUGGCUGUCCUGGAACUCACUCUGUUGACCAGGCUACCAUCAAACUCAGAAAUCUGCCUGCCUUUGCCCUCCAAGUGCUGGGAUUAAAGGUGUGUAGCACCACUGUCUUGCAUAAAAACUAAUUUUUAAAUUAUGUAUAUAUGUGUGUGAGCUUGUGCAUGUGAUACAGUGCCCAUAGAGAACAGACGAGGGCACAGGAUGGAUCCCUUGGAGCUGGAGUUACCGCGAGCCACUAACGUGGGUGCUGGGAACAGAAUUUUGGUCCUUCAGAAAGGCAGCGUGUGCUCUCAGCCGCUGUGCCUUCUACCUGGUUCCAGCAACAUUUAACAGCCUAAACUGGGUGACUAACAACCGGAUGUGUGUCAGUGCUGGCGUGUCUAAAUAAUGAUGGCAUGCAGGUCGACAUCACAGUCAUGAAACAAGCAAGCAAGCAAGCAAGCAAGCAAGCAAGCAAGCAAGCAAACAAAGCUCUUAUCUCAAAAUCUGAGCCAGGGUUAAUUCAUGCAGUUUUUCUAGUGUUUCCUGGGGCCUUAGCAGCUUUGGUUGUGAGCCUCAUUAUAAUCUUACCUUUUCUGGUGGAAGCCCACAUUUGGCUGCCACAGCUGUGAUGCAAGAUUCUGUUACCAGGACUCCCUGUGGGAAGCCAAACCCACGAAAAGCUGUAUUAGAUGGCAAGUUUGUCAUGCAGGCACGACCCCGGAGUCUGAGGUUGUGGAUUUUAUAUGCAUUUUCCAGUUUUAGUACAAGAAAUUCUGUUACCUAAAGGAAAAGGAGAUAUAUUAGACACACCGCCCAACUUUCCAUAAAGACUCAUCUAAGUUGCAGGAUACUUGACCACACUGUAAAUCCCCCAAGAUUGUAUUGUGUUUACUGGAAAAACCUGUUUCUAGUUGUGAUGUGUCUCAGCCUUGGAACACACCUUUUGUCCCAAACAAUGAAAGUAAAGUCAGUUUGUAGAAGGAAGCAGCCAUGUUUCAAAGCGAUGGCUAAUUGAGUGGCAGACAAAGUGACGAAUCAGAGGAGAUUUGACAGAAUGGGAAACGCCCAACUCUCACGAGAACAGAGAGAAAAGAAAGACUACUAAGAGAUGCCCAGGAGAGAGGGCAGUUUUACUGGGAGAGCUUUACAGAGACAGGCUGAAGAGAGAACAAGCUGGACACAGGAAGACAGAACAAGCCAGAGAAUGAGAAGGAGCCAGAUUAGACCAGAUUGCCAGAGUUAGUUUGAAGCCAAAUUGAGCAAAAAUUCAGAGGCUGAGAGGGAGAAUCCAGCUUGAAUCAGUCAGCUUGAAGAGGAGCUUGAGCCAGAACAGCUGAGUGGAACCAGCCAGCCAGAGUUCAGAAAGAACUAGAAAGGGUGAACUUAUUCGGCAGUAAGUCUCAGAGGCUGAAAACUUUCUAGGCCCAGAUAAGACUGUACAGAGGCUGGAAGCUUCCAGGACUAAGCCCAACUUCACAGACGAGGCAGUAAGCCUCCAAGGUGACAAUUAUAUCAGGCAAAGAAGACACUUUGACACAACUAGACACUUUGCAUGUGAUCCCUGAAAGGGCACCGUGGUUCCUGACACACGUACCAGCUCCGAAUCAUCCAGCGUGCAUCCUCCAUUGAUGUAGCAUUCAAUGUCGAGGGCUUUGAUCCGUCCACUGUUCAUGAAGCCCACCUGUCACCAAAGGAUGGACAUUUUACUGAUUUGCUUAAGAUGUAGUUACCAAGUGUGAGUCUCCCUUACUUUCCUGUUGAAGUGGAUCAAAGACAGACUUUGCCUCCAGUUUGUUCUCCUGUGACACCCACCUGCUGUGGCCUUGCUUUCUAGUGUCUGAUUGAAGAAGGACUUUCUUAACCUGGCUCCACACCCAGUAUAGAAUCCUCAAGUUCGUGCUCAACUCCCAGAAUGCAAAUUGCUUCUCUCAUUCUCCUGACUCCUGGAAGAUUCUCCACCUUUCUGUCCUGGCUUUCCUUCUAAUUUGGUUUGUGGUUUUCUCCACAUUGGAAAGUCUUUGGGAUCCCAGAGUGCAUGGAGAUGAAUCAUGUUAUCCCUGUCACAGGAAAGCCUUGGGAACAGAGGUUGGAGAAUUCAUGAGCUGGACUUGUCUUACUGGGUGGCCAAGGUGCUUUGUAAAUAGCAGCAUAGGUGGAAGAAUGGUGCCGUAAUCUAAGGCAGUGGUAAAACCAGGUAGGAAAUCAGAUGUGUAUGGUCAAGUGAUUCCUAAUAAAGUACGUGUAUGUGUG